GAUGAAGAACGUAGCGAAAUGCGAUAAGUAAUGUGAAUUGCAGAAUUCAGUGAAUCAUCGAAUCUUUGAACGCACAUUGCGCCCGCCAGUAUUCUGGCGGGCAUGCCUGUCCGAGCGUCAUUUCAACCAUCAAGCCCCGGGCUUGUGUUGGGGACCUGCGUCCGACGCAGGCCCUGAAAACCAGUGGCGGGCUCGCUGUCCACACCGAGCGUAGUAACUAACCUCGCUAUGGAGUGGCGCGGGCGCCUGCCGUAAAACCCCCAAUUUCACAAGGUUGACCUCGGAUCAGGUAGGAAUACCCGCUGAACUUAAGCAUAUCAAUAAGCGAGGA
rnacentral:misc_RNA from 1 species